rnacentral:rRNA from 1 species
UACGUAGGGUGCGAGCGUUAAUCGGAAUUACUGGGCGUAAAGUGUGCGCAGGCGGCCGAGCAAGUCGAGUGUGAAAGCCCCGGGCUUAACUUGGGAAUUGCGCUCGAAACUACUUGGCUGGAGUGUGGCAGAGGGGGGUGGAAUUCCACGUGUAGCGGUGAAAUGCGUAGAGAUCCGGAGGAAUACCAGAGGCGAAGGCGGCACCCUGGGUCUGACCUGACGCUGAUCCGCGACAGCAUGGGGAGCGAACGGG